UGGUGACUGGAAGCUGCAUCCAGAUGGUGGCAGAGGAAGCCAUGUGCCAUUAUGAAGACAUCCGUUCCCAUGGCAAUACACUGCUCAGCGCCGCAGCCGCAGCCCUGUGUGCUGGGGAGCCAGGUCCUGAGGGCCUCCUCAUCGUCAACACACUGCCCUGGAAGCGGACCGAAGUGAUGGCCCUGCCCAAACCAGGCGGGGCCCACAGCCUAGCCCUGGUGACAGUGCCCAGCAUGGGCUAUGCUCCUGUUCCUCCCCCCACCUCACUGCAGCCCCUGCUGCCCCAGCAGCCUGUGUUCGUAGUGCAAGAGACUGAUGGCUCCGUGACUCUGGACAAUGGCAUCAUCCGAGUGAAGCUGGACCCAACUGGUCGCCUGACGUCCUUGGUCCUGGUGGCCUCUGGCAGGGAGGCCAUUGCUGAGGGCGCCGUGGGGAACCAGUUUGUGCUAUUUGAUGAUGUCCCCUUGUACUGGGAUGCAUGGGACGUCAUGGACUACCACCUGGAGACACGGUAUAGGCUGGGCAGCAUGUGGUAUAGGCUGGGCAGCAUGUGGGGAUGGUGGAGGUGGUGGGAACACAGGCUGCUCUGGAUCAGUAUGUCCACCCCUGUCCCAUAGGAAGCCUGUGCUGGGCCAGGCAGGGACCCUGGCAGUGGGCACCGAGGGCGGCCUGCGGGGCAGCGCCUGGUUCUUGCUACAGAUCAGCCCCAACAGUCGGCUUAGCCAGGAGGUCGUGCUGGACGUUGGCUGCCCCUAUGUCCGCUUCCACACCGAGGU
rnacentral:sRNA from 1 species